rnacentral:rRNA from 1 species
UACGGGAUAAUAUAUUUGAGAGGCAUCUCUUGAAUAUCAAAGGUGAGCCAGUACAGGAUGGACCCGCGUCUGAUUAGCUAGUUGGUAAGGUAACGGCUUACCAAGGCGACGAUCAGUAGCCGACCUGAGAGGGUGAUCGGCCACAUUGGAACUGAGACACGGCCCAAACGCCUACGGGAGGCAGCAGUGGGGAAUAUUGCACAAUGGGCGAAAGCCUGAUGCAGCAACGCCGCGUGAGGGAGGAAGGCCUUCGGGUCGUAAAACUCUGUCCUCAAGGAAGAUAAUGACGGUACUUGAGGAGGAAGCCCCGGCUAACUACGUGCCAGCAGCCGCGGUAAUACGUAGGGGGCUAGCGUUAUCCGGAUUUACUGGGCGUAAAGGGUGCGUAGG